rnacentral:rRNA from 1 species
GUGCAGCAGUCGAGAAUACUUUACAAUGUGCGAAAGCACGAUAAGGGAACUCUGAGUGCCUCCUAAGGAGGCUGUUCAGGUGUCUAAAAAGCACCUGGAGUAAGGGCUGGGUAAGACCGGUGCCAGCCGCCGCGGUAACACCGGCAGCCCAGGUGGUAGCCACUUUUAUUGGGUCUAAAGCGUCCGUAGCCGGUUGAGUAAGUUCCUUGGGAAAUUUGGCUGCUCAACAGUCAAGCUUCCAGGGAAUACUGCUCGACUUGGGGACUGGGAGAGGUCAGAGGUACUCCAGGGGUAGGGGUGAAAUCCAUUAAUCCCUGGGGGACCACCGGUAGCGAAGGCGUCUGACCAGACCAGGUCCGACGGUGAGGGACGAAGGCUAGGGUCGCGAACCGGAUUAGAUA